rnacentral:rRNA from 1 species
AUAUCAAUAAGCGGAGGAAAAGAAACUAACAAGGAUUCCCCUAGUAACUGCGAGUGAAGCGGGAAAAGCUCAAAUUUAAAAUCUGGCAGUCUCGCGGCUGUCCGAGUUGUAAUCUAGGAGAAGUGUUUAUCCGCGUCUGGACCGUGUACAAGUCUCCUGGAAUGGAGCGUCAUAGAGGGUGAGAAUCCCGUCUUUGACACGGACAACCGAUGCUUUGUGAUGCGCUCUCGAAGAGUCGAGUUGUUUGGGAAUGCAGCUCUAAAUGGGUGGUAAAUUCCAUCUAAAGCUAAAUAUUGGCGAGAGACCGAUAGCGAACAAGUACCGUGAGGGAAAGAUGAAAAGCACUUUGGAAAGAGAGUUAAACAGUAC